rnacentral:rRNA from 1 species
GGGUUGUGAGGUUAAGCGACUAAGCGUACACGGUGGAUGCCCUGGCAGUCAGAGGCGAUGAAGGACGUGCUAAUCUGCGAUAAGCGUCGGUGAGGUGAUAUGAACCGUUAUAACCGGCGAUUUCCGAAUGGGGAAACCCAGUGUGUUUCGACACACUAUCAUUAACUGAAUCCAUAGGUUAAUGAGGCGAACCGGGGGAACUGAAACAUCUAAGUACCCCGAGGAAAAGAAAUCAACCGAGAUUCCCCCAGUAGCGGCGAGCGAACGGGGAGCAGCCCAGAGCCUGAAUCAGUGUGUGUGUUAGUGGAAGCGUCUGGAAAGGCGUGCGAUACAGGGUGACAGCCCCGUACACAAAAAUGCACAUGCUGUGAGCUCGAUGAGUAGGGCGGGACACGUGGUAUCCUGUCUGAAUAUGGGGGGACCAUC